ACAAAAAGGACCCACCCUCGGAUGGAAUCAUCUGCUGCUUCUCUAAAGAAAGCAACUAUGGCCAUGGCUUUUUCUUAACAAAAAUUCACCAAUCUACAGCCACAUAUCCCAAAGAAGACAAAAAUCUCCAGGGUUAUUUUUAGAAGAAAGACAAUCGGCUCCCCGUGAAAGGGACCAUACUCUUCUUUUCUCUGCUUUUGCUUCGACUGUUACAACAGCUGAUUUUUAAACAAAUAGCUACUUUUAUUGCCUUAUAUGUAGAAGGCCAUAGCUGCUAUUGAUCUUCGCAAGUCACCCGAAAUGGACUGCGAUUUUGCUCUUUCUGUCGUGAUAAGUUGCUGCGCUCCAUCUUUCAUUUUUCUAGCCUUUAUUUGGUCCAAAUUUCUCAUCCUUGUCCUUUUUGAGUAGGUGUGCUUUUUUGGGUUGGCAUUUUCCUCUAUUCAGCGUAUCUCCUUGCUAGUAUAUUUGUUGAUUUGUGCGGUUUUAUGUUCAUUGUCUCAAGUGAAAAACACGUCCGUUGAAGUCCUAUAUUUUCAUUUGCUCGCUUGAAGGAAGACAUUUUAUUUCAAGCAUCUAAAGUUUGGAGUACUUGCAAAUAGGUGCUGAAAUUUUAUAUUUGUUACUGGAAUGAAAUGGCGUGAUAGAGUAUUGUUAUGGUCUUCUUCUUUUAACAUGAGCUUCAAUUGAAUUUCUUUUAGGUUUUGGACGAUGUAAAUUGUUAAUGUUGAUGUUUCCUUGUAUUCUGAUACCAAAAAAAUAUAUUAUUUUUGUGUAUUGA